rnacentral:lncRNA from 1 species
UAAUCAGUAGCAAAUAUAUUUUAUUAUUAUUUAUUUAUUUUUAAUGAUAGAAAUUUUUAAAUUGACGAUCAGCGUCGUUAAACAUAAUCUAUAUCACUUGAGUUACCUAGAAAUCAAAUUUCGUUCUUUUUUUUUUAUAUUAUUCUCUUGUCCAUCAAGUGGACACAAAAUGAAAAGCUGAAAAUGAAUAUUCUUUAAGAAGUGAUGAUAAGAAUCUUGUAAUCAAGAUCGAAAGUAUAGAUCUUAUUCUAAAUAGUUUAAAAAAUUUUCUAACAAAAAUUUAAUCGAUUUGAAUAUCUUUACACCGUUAGACAAGAAAACCCCUCAUAUCAACCAUUAAAAUUACAAAAAUUGAAAUCAUUUGAUCAUUAGGUCAAUAAUGUCGAAAAGAUUUAAAAUUUGGUUUAUAGAUAUUUUAAGUAGUAUAAAUAAUGUUCAACGAUAUUGAUCGUCGAUUUGAAGGCUCCAUCGUCGAAAAUAAAUGGGUGGCAACGAAACCCGUUUUGCUACUGAUAGUAUUCUAACUUUAACUCAUAAAAAAUUUAAUUAAAAAUCGGAUAAAAAAUAAAAUUUAGAGUUUAACAGUAAAAGUUUA